AAUCAUGUGUUUUUCAUCGUGGGAACUACGUGAAGGACCUGAGUCGCCUUGGGCGGGAGCUGAGCAAAGUGAUCAUUGUUGACAAUUCCCCUGCCUCAUACAUCUUCCAUCCUGAGAAUGCAGUGCCUGUGCAGUCCUGGUUCGAUGACAUGACGGACACGGAGCUGCUGGACCUCAUCCCCUUCUUUGAGGGCCUGAGCCGGGAGGACGACGUGUACAGCAUGCUGCACAGACUCUGCAAUAGCUGGAUACACAUGGAGCUGUUUGGGAAUUUUCCUUGCUGCUACCGCGCUGCCACCAAAUGGAAUUGACCAGCGGCUGUUACACUGUUCUUUGCCACUGUGCCUAUGCUCAGAAUAUGCUCACUGCUAAGCUACAAACUCGGACAGGGUCAGAAACAGAGGUGUCCCAUCCCAUUGCAGCCUCCACCACCUGUAACCCCUUCCUGGCAUUGGCCACUGAAGGGUACAAAGGCAAAAGGACCACAGCACCACUUAGGUGUAGCAUGGAUUUUAAACUGCAGUCAGUAUCAGAUCCUGUUUGAUAAAUAAGCUGACUGUUCUCUCUUGAGAACCUGUGGCCUCAACCAGCCACCAAGCUGAUGUGGCCCAAGUCCAUCUCUUGGUCUUCUCCUUUGAAGCACAGCCUAUUUCUGAGCCAAGGGUUGGGGAAGCCUGUCUAGAUGUGGGACUCAUUGCCCCAAACCAGGGAGAGGAAGAGCUCCCACAGGGAGAGCCCAGGCUCUCUUUGCAGCCUUUCCCAGUUUGGUGUUUAAGCAGUGCCAUGUUCCUUGUUUGACAACAA
rnacentral:lncRNA from 1 species